rnacentral:rRNA from 1 species
UACGUAGGGUGCAAGCGUUGUCCGGAAUUAUUGGGCGUAACGAGCUCGUAGGCGGUUCGUCACAUCGGCUGUGAAAACCUGAGGCUCAACCUCAGGCCUGCAGUCGAUACGGGCGGACUUGAGUACUGCAGGGGAGACUGGAAUUCCUGGUGUAGCGGUGAAAUGCGCAGAUAUCAGGAGGAACACCGGUGGCGAAGGCGGGUCUCUGGGCAGUAACUGACGCUGAGGAGCGAAAGCGUGGGGAGCGAACAGG